rnacentral:rRNA from 1 species
AACGAACGCUGGCGGCAGGCUUAACACAUGCAAGUCGAGCGCCCCGCAAGGGGAGUGGCAGACGGGUGAGUAACGCGUGGGAACAUACCCUUUUCUACGGAAUAGCUCUGGGAAACUGGAAUUAAUACCGUAUACGCCCUACGGGGGAAAGAUUUAUCGGGGAAGGAUUGGCCCGCGUUGGAUUAGCUAGUUGGUGGGGUAAAGGCCUACCAAGGCGACGAUCCAUAGCUGGUCUGAGAGGAUGAUCAGCCACAUUGGGACUGAGACACGGCCCAAACUCCUACGGGAGGCAGCAGUGGGGAAUAUUGGACAAUGGGCGCAAGCCUGAUCUAGCCAUGCCGCGUGAGUGAUGAAGGCCUUAGGGUUGUAAAGCUCUUUCACCGAUGAAGAUAAUGACGGUAGUCGGAGAAGAAGCCCCGGCUAACUUCGUGCCAGCAGCCGCCGUAACAC